rnacentral:piRNA from 1 species
AGGAACGUAACCUUCAUGUCUGUGGUCCC